rnacentral:rRNA from 1 species
GACGAACGCUGGCGGCGUGCUUAACACAUGCAAGUCGAACGGAAAGGCCCUGCUUUUGUGGGGUGCUCGAGUGGCGAACGGGUGAGUAACACGUGAGUAACCUGCCCUUCUCUUUGGGAUAACUUCAGGAAACUGGGGCUAAUACCAGAUAGGAUCUCCUGCUGCAUGGUGGGGGUUGGAAAGUUUCGGCGGUUGGGGAUGGACUCGCGGCUUAUCAGCUUGUUGGUGGGGUAGUGGCUUACCAAGGCUUUGACGGGUAGCCGGCCUGAGAGGGUGAACGGGCACAUUGGGACUGAGAUACGGCCCAGACUCCUACGGGAGGCAGCAGUGGGGAAUAUUGCACAAUGGGCGGAAGCCUGAUGCAGCAACGCCGCGUGCGUGAUGACGGCCUUCGGGUUGAAAACCGCUUUCGCCUGUGACGAAGCGUGAGUGACGGUAAUGGGUAAAGAAGCACCGGCUAACUACGUG